GGCUUGUUAAAGGCCUGGUAGCUGAAGGACAGGGGAUCAUUUUAUCGAUGAAAAUUGCAUCUGUCAAAAGGAGAAAAGGAAGAAUC
rnacentral:lncRNA from 1 species